AUUGAACGCUGGCGGAAUGCUUUACACAUGCAAGUCGAACGGCAGCACGGGGCAACCUGGUGGCGAGUGGCGAACGGGUGAGUAAUACAUCGGAACGUGCCCAAUCGUGGGGGAUAACGUAGCGAAAGUUACGCUAAUACCGCAUACGAUCUACGGAUGAAAGCGGGGGAUCGCAAGACCUCGCGCGAAUGGAGCGGCCGAUGUCAGAUUAGGUAGUUGGUGGGGUAAAGGCUCACCAAGCCGACGAUCUGUAGCUGGUCUGAAAGGACGACCAGCCACACUGGGACUGAGACACGGCCCAGACUCCUACGGGAGGCAGCAGUGGGGAAUUUUGAACAAUGGGCGCAAGCCUGAUCCAGCCAUUCCGCGUGCAGGAUGAAGGCCUUCGGGUUGUAAACUGCUUUUGUACGGAGCGAAAAGGCUCUCUCUAAUACAGGGGGCUCAUGACGGUACCGUAAGAAUAAGCACCGGCUAACUACGUGCCAGCAGCCGCCGUAACAC
rnacentral:rRNA from 1 species